ACUUUUAAAAAGAGGAGUUGAAAUGAAAAAAAGGACUAAAGUAUACAUUUUUUUUAACUUAAAUGCUAGGAUUAGUAUUUAUUUUGUGGACCCAUUAAGGCUAUCAUUUUCUCAAUUUUAAAACACUUUUAUCUAAAUAUAACAUAGAAUCUAUGAGAAGUAUUUUGGAAGUGUGGACGCGACUAUCUGAUGAGUCAGUGACCGUACUUGAUCGAGGGAGAGCAAAACAAUACGGUGUCUCAGAGGAGGUGAGGUAUUUGAUAGAUUUUAACAAAUGGGAGAUAUUUGUUAAUGAUGAUUCAACUCGCUCAUUCAUGUCGUUGGAAGUUGUAGCAGGAGGCUUAGCUCAGAUAAGAAUGCAAAUCCAAGCUGUUAAUGAAGUCUACAAACUUCACAACCUUCCGGAAUUUUACAAGGAUCCACGUCCUCACGUCUCAUUAGCUUGGACAUUGGGGGACAUCAGGGACACCCUGAAAAGAAUGGUGGAAGAAGAGAUGAAGAAAUACAAAGCGGGUUUGAGUUCCCAACAGAAAUGUAUUUUCACAAGCAAAUUCAAUGGCAUUUUGUGCAAAAUAGGCAACAAGAUGCAUGAAAUCUGCAAGUUUCAAGAAGAAUAGCAGUUAUUUGUUGAUUCCUAAUUAACUUUCUCAGUUCAAACCACUAUGCAACUCCCAGAAGGAUAAAAGUCGACUGAAGCAAGAGAAAGGCUCACUCUGUUCUGGAAUCUCUACCCAAUAUUUGCUGAAAGAAGAUAACAAUUGAUGACCGCAUAUUCCCAGCAUAUCAAUGAUGUAGUACCUAACAAAAGGUUCAAUGUCCUAAUUUGGAUUGGCGCUGGAAACCACUUCGGGAGAUAGGAGGCUCCUUACCGAAGACAAUUUCACAUUUGGGCCUUGAGUCCAUGACAUUUUAUUAGGAAAAAAUGAGUACUUAUAAUUCUAUCACAUACUUUGAUUAUAGUAAAGAGAAGUAACUAAGAAGUCCAUGACAUUUUAUUAAGAAAAAAUGAGUACUUAUAAUUACAUCACAUACUUUGAUAAUAGUAAAGAGAAGUAACUAAGAAUGUGGCUGUAAAGGAGAUAAUACACAAAAGUAUUUUGUAUAUUUUUUGGUGUUAAAUAUGCUAUGUUAUCUUUA